rnacentral:rRNA from 1 species
GACGAACGCUGGCGGCGUGCUUAACACAUGCAAGUCGAACGGAAAGGCCCUGCUUUUGUGGGGUGCUCGAGUGGCGAACGGGUGAGUAACACGUGAGUAACCUGCCCUUUACUUUGGGAUAACUUCAGGAAACUGGGGCUAAUACCGGAUAGGAGCUCCUGCUGCAUGGUGGGGGUUGGAAAUUUUCGGCGGUUGGGGAUGGACUCGCGGCUUAUCAGCUUGUUGGUGGGGUAGUGGCUUACCAAGGCUUUGACGGGUAGCCGGCCUGAGAGGGUGACCGGCCACAUUGGGACUGAGAUACGGACCAGACUCCUACGGGAGGCAGCAGUGGGGAAUAUUGCACAAUGGGCGGAAGCCUGAUGCAGCAACGCCGCGUGCGGGAUGACGGCCUUCGGGUUGUAAACCGCUUUCGCCUGUGACGAAGCGUGAGUGACGGUAAUGGGUAAAGAAGCACCGGCUAACUACGUG